rnacentral:rRNA from 1 species
GCUUGUCUCAAAGAUUAAGCCAUGCAUGUCUAAGUACACACUUUCAUAAAGUGAAACCGCAAAAGGCUCAGUACAACAGCUGUAAUUCCUUAGAUCAUAAACUCAGUUACUUGGAUAACUGUGGAAAAUCUAGAGCUAAUACAUGCAUCAAACGGGGACCUCACGGAACCCGUGCAAUUAUUAGACAAACCAAUGAUCUUCGGAUCUUAAUUGGUGGAACUCUGGAUAAUUUGGCUGAUCGUAUGGCCUCGUGCCGACGACAGGUCUUUCAAAUGUCUGCCCUAUCAACUAUUGAUGGUAGUAUAGAGGACUACCAUGGUUGCAACGGGUAACGGGGAAUCAGGGCUCGAUUCCGGAGAGGGAGCCUGAGAAAUGGCUACCACAUCUAANGAAGGCAGCAGGCGCGUNAAUUACCCAAUGCCAGUACGGCGAGGUANUGACNAAAAAUAACNAUACAGGACUCUUUUAUGAUGUUCUGUAAUUGGAAUGAAUUAACUUUAAAUCCUUUAAUGAGGAUCAAGUGGAGGGCAAGUCUGGUGCCACCAUCCGCGGUUAUUCCAUCUCCUCUAGCGUAUAUUAAAGUUGUUGCCGUUAAAACCUUCCAAGUUGAACUUUGUCUCCCACUGUGCGCUCCCCCUUACGGGUGUUGGCCGUCCAUGGCCUGUGCAGACUGUAAGUCUUGGCAAAUAUAACAUUAGAACCUUUCCAUUUUCCAAUGGAUGGGGGUAGGGUGUAUAUGCUAAAAUUGUAAUUUAACUGCCUUUGGUUAGGUGGUUUUAUGCAAGCCAAGCACAUUUUUACCUUGAACAAAUUAGAGUGAUCAAAGCAAGCUAUCAUAUGCUUGGAUAAUUAAGCAUGGAAUAAUGGAAUAAGACCCUGGUCUUUUUCUUGUUGGUUUGAAUAGACCAAAGGUAAUGAUUAAUAGAAGCAGUUGGGGGCAUUAGUAUUACGGCGCGAGAGGUGAAAUUCGUAGACCGUCGUAAGACUAUCUGAAGCGAAAGCAUUUGCCAAGGAUGUUUUCAUUAAUCAAGAACGAAAGUUAGAGGAUCGAAGACGAUCAGAUACCGUC